GGUUAAGCGACCAAGCGUACACGGUGGAUGCCCUGGCAGUCAGAGGCGAUGAAGGACGUGCUAAUCUGCGAAAAGCGCCGGUAAGGUGAUAUGAACCGUUAUAACCGGCGAUGUCCGAAUGGGGAAACCCAGUGUGACUCGUCACACUAUCAUUAACUGAAUCCAUAGGUUAAUGAGGCGAACCGGGGGAACUGAAACAUCUAAGUACCCCGAGGAAAAGAAAUCAACCGAGAUUCCCCCAGUAGCGGCGAGCGAACGGGGAGGAGCCCAGAGCCUGAAUCAGCAUGUGUGUUAGUGGAAGCGUCUGGAAAGGCGCGCGAUACAGGGUGACAGCCCCGUACACAAAAGCGCAUGUGCUGUGAGCUCGAUGAGUAGGGCGGGACACGUGGUAUCCUGUCUGAAUAUGGGGGGACCAUCCUCCAAGGCUAAAUACUCCUGACUGACCGAUAGUGAACCAGUACCGUGAGGGAAAGGCGAAAAGAACCCCGGCGAGGGGAGUGAAACAGAACCUGAAACCGUGUACGUACAAGCAGUGGGAGCAUGAGUUUACUCAUGUGACUGCGUACCUUUUGUAUAAUGGGUCAGCGACUUAUAUUCUGUAGCAAGGUUAACCGAAUAGGGGAGCCGGAGGGAAACCGAGUCUUAACCGGGCGUUAAGUUGCAGGGUAUAGACCCGAAACCCGGUGAUCUAGCCAUGGGCAGGUUGAAGGUUGGGUAACACUAACUGGAGGACCGAACCGACUAAUGUUGAAAAAUUAGCGGAUGACCUGUGGCUGGGGGUGAAAGGCCAAUCAAACCGGGAGAUAGCUGGUUCUCCCCGAAAGCUAUUUAGGUAGCGCCUCGUGAAUUCAUCUCCGGGGGUAGAGCACUGUUUCGGCCAGGGGGCCAUCCCGGCUUACCAACCCGAUGCAAACUGCGAAUACCGGAGAAUGUUAUCACGGGAGACACACGGCGGGUGCUAACGUCCGUCGUGAAGAGGGAAACAACCCAGACCGCCAGCUAAGGUCCCAAAGUCAUGGUUAAGUGGGAAACGAUGUGGGAAGGCCCAGACAGCCAGGAUGUUGGCUUAGAAGCAGCCAUCAUUUAAAGAAAGCGUAAUAGCUCACUGGUCGAGUCGGCCUGCGCGGAAGAUGUAACGGGGCUAAACCAUGCACCGAAGCUGCGGCAGCGACACUAAGUGUUGUUGGGUAGGGGAGCGUUCUGUAAGCCUGCGAAGGUGUGUCGUGAGGCAUGCUGGAGGUAUCAGAAGUGCGAAUGCUGACAUAAGUAACGAUAAUGCGGGUGAAAAACCCGCACGCCGGAAGACCAAGGGUUCCUGUCCAACGUUAAUCGGGGCAGGGUGAGUCGACCCCUAAGGCGAGGCCGAAAGGCGUAGUCGAUGGGAAACGGGUUAAUAUUCCCGUACCUGGUGUUACUGCGAAGGGGGGACGGAGAAGGCUAUGUUGGCCGGGCGACGGUUGUCCCGGUUUAAGCGUGCAGGCUGGUUUUCCAGGCAAAUCCGGAAAAUCAAGGCUGAGGCGUGACGACGAGGCACUACGGUGCUGAAGCAACAAAUGCCCUGCUUCCAGGAAAAGCCUCUAAGCCUCAGGUAACAUCAGAUCGUACCCGAAACCGACACAGGUGGUCAGGUAGAGAAUACCAAGGCGCUUGAGAGAACCCGGGUGAAGGAACUAGGCAAAAUGGUGCCGUAACUUCGGGAGAAGGCACGCUGACACGUAGGUGAAGCGGUUUACCCGUGGAGCUGAAGUCAGUCGAAGAUACCAGCUGGCUGCAACUGUUUAUUAAAAACACAGCACUGUGCAAACACGAAAGUGGACGUAUACGGUGUGACGCCUGCCCGGUGCCGGAAGGUUAAUUGAUGGGGUCAGCGCAAGCGAAGCUCCUGAUCGAAGCCCCGGUAAACGGCGGCCGUAACUAUAACGGUCCUAAGGUAGCGAAAUUCCUUGUCGGGUAAGUUCCGACCUGCACGAAUGGCGUAAUGAUGGCCAGGCUGUCUCCACCCGGGACUCAGUGAAAUUGAACUCGCUGUGAAGAUGCAGUGUACCCGCGGCAAGACGGAAAGACCCCGUGAACCUUUACUAUAGCUUGACACUGAACACUGGUCCUUGAUGUGCAGGAUAGGUGGGAGGCUUUGAAGUGUGGACGCCAGUCUGCAUGGAGCCGUCCUUGAAAUACCACCCUUUAAUGGCUGGUGUUCUAACGUAGACCCGUGAACCGGGUUGCGGACAGUGUCUGGUGGGUAGUUUGACUGGGGCGGUCUCCUCCUAAAGCGUAACGGAGGAGCACGAAGGUUGGCUAAUCCUGGUCGGACAUCAGGAGGUUAGUGCAAUGGCAUAAGCCAGCUUGACUGCGAGCGUGACGGCGCGAGCAGGUGCGAAAGCAGGUCAUAGUGAUCCGGUGGUUCUGAAUGGAAGGGCCAUCGCUCAACGGAUAAAAGGUACUCCGGGGAUAACAGGCUGAUACCGCCCAAGAGUUCAUAUCGACGGCGGUGUUUGGCACCUCGAUGUCGGCUCAUCACAUCCUGGGGCUGAAGUAGGUCCCAAGGGUAUGGCUGUUCGCCAUUUAAAGUGGUACGCGAGCUGGGUUUAGAACGUCGUGAGACAGUUCGGUCCCUAUCUGCCGUGGGCGCUGGAGAACUGAGGGGGGCUGCUCCUAGUACGAGAGGACCGGAGUGGACGCAUCACUGGUGUUCGGGUUGUCAUGCCAAUGGCACUGCCCGGUAGCUAAAUGCGGAAGAGAUAAGUGCUGAAAGCAUCUAAGCACGAAACUUGCCCCGAGAUGAGUUCUCCCUGAGACUACAAGUCUCCUGAAGGAACGUUGAAGACGACGACGUUGAUAGGCCGGGUGUGUAAGCGCAGCGAUGCGUUGAGCUAACCGGUACUAAUGAACCGUGAGGCUUAACCUUAC
rnacentral:rRNA from 1 species